UAGCGAAAAGUUGACGAAAGGGGAGAGUAACUUUUCCUCUUCGCUCGCUCUCUCCCUCUCUCUCUCCGAGUGGCUCUCAGUCCUGGUCAAAUCAUAUUCCGGGCUUUUGAAAUAGUGGGCGCUAGAGCACCGCCUUUGGCGUCCGCCAGCCGGGCUCAGAGGAGGGAGACCCUGAGCCGGGGAGGGGGCGGAGGAGGGGGCGCGGGCCGGCGCCCACCCGGCUCCCCGGGAGCAAGGGCAGGACGGCCGCAGCCGCUGGGGAAGCAACAUGGAGACUUUUUCCUGCGCUCGAAACUGUGCUCUUGAAGUUUAUUCCCAAGUGGUGCCCCGCGUGGUGGCCGGCGCUCCUCUGUGAUCCUCGCGAUUCGCUCCGGCCGCCCGGUGCCGGCGCCUCCGGCAGCGGGGUCCUCACUGGCCGCUUUGCUACCCGCCGCCCUGCCUCGCUUGGCCUCGCUCCGACCCUCUCGCACAUGCUGUCCCCGGCACCCGCGAGCCCCAGAGGGACCAAUGUCCCGGCGAGGCUACCCGGGCCCGGGGCUUACUUUCUCUUUCGCGCCGCCUCGAGCCGUGCCUGGGGCUGUGCGCUCAGCCAGCAGCGGGCUGGUCCCCACCGCAGCCCGCCGGCUCCUGCCGUCCGCACUAUGGCCACCGUGUCUCGCAGCCGCCCAGCGCGCCCUCCCGUCCCAGUGCCGGCGCCAUCCGCAGGAGUCGGGCCCGGGGCUUCGUCCCUUGCAGCCAGCAGGUGGGGACCCGCUGCAGGGCGGCCGGGGGAAGCGCGGCUCGAACAGCUCGGGCCACGGUCCGGCUCCAGCGAAGCGUUGAGCGCUGUACGGAGAGGAUCCGAGUCGCUCGCCCCCGCCGCCCCCUCCUCUACCACGGGCCGGCUCCAGGUCCCUGCCUGAUCACCAGGCCGUUCGGUCUGCGCCUCCGGGGCAGGAUCCUGCCUGGCCCGGCCUCGCGGCUUCCAGAGCCGAACUCUUAAAGAGCGUGAGUCCAGCGAGCCGGUGUGGGAUCCGCGAUAGUUUUCCGAAAAAGCCAGGCACUUUGAGCUCCGGACCCUACGGAACUUGGCCCCACGGCGGCCCGGCUGUCUUAGGCCGCGCGCCCACUCUGCAGGGAAAAGCAACUUCCAGCCUCCGCCAAGCUUCCCUGAGCUCCGCCGUUGGAGUUCGUGGCCCCUCGGUUAAGAGCCCCUUUCCUGCCGAGCUCCCUGGCCAGCUGCCCUUGACCUCGGCCUUCUGGGCCACCCAUGACCUCUGACCCCUCUUGGUGCGAACAGUGCCAGUAGGUUCCCAGCGGAUGCGAAGGGGUUGUGUGCGUGUUGGGUGACUCUCCACGACGCGUGGAACGGGUGUGCAGUGUACUGUUAGAGUCCGGUGUGUACCGUGAGCCUUUGGGAGUCUCGACCCCCUGGCUGCAGGUUGGAUGGUCAGGCUCUCGCUGAGGAAAGACCAAAGCUUGAAGGAGAGAGACGUAAAGUGACUGCGCUCUUUUUGUUGCCGCCGCCUUCGCUGCAAGCGAGAGACUGGCUCAGCGCACCCAGCGCGGCCCCGGAAACUUCCCAGAGGCCCACACCCGCUCGGCGCCCUGCUGGGCCUCCUGCUCUCCCUCCACCAGGUGGGGAAGGUCACUUGGCUCCGGCCCUAUGUAGGGCCAGAACGGGCGUCCAGCGACGAUCUUGAGGCCUUCUCUGGAGGCCAAGAACCGAAGGACACAACCGGUGGGAGUCCACAGUUCAGGGCGUUCUUGGAAACAACCCACAGGAGCUUGCCCGACAGACCCAGGGUCUCCACUUGAGUGUCAACCUGGAGACCUGGUUUCAGGCUGUGUGACUGUUACUGCUACUACCAAAACCCCUUCAAGAAGAGGGCGAGGCGGCUCAGGAUGGAAGACGGCCCAGGGCUUACUGAAGACUUUCUUAUUUCUUUAGACAGCAUUUUAAGGGACUGUGGAAGGCUCCUGGGAACCUGACUCAAUUACCUGAAGCAAGAGUGACCAGCAGCCAGCCCAGAAGCCUCCUAACUGGCUGACAGGGUCAGGGGAUAGAAGAAGGAGCAAGGUCAUGGUGGUUCAGGGUUUUGUUCUGCCCUCAUACUACUCGGGCCCCUGAGCUGUGACUGAGAUGUCCUGAGGACAGAAGGACAGAUGGGCCAAUGGAUGUAACGGCAGGACACAGGGCUUGGGUGUGAGGUUGUCCCAGGGGUGUGCAUUUUGAGGUAUAAUUUCGUUUGUAUUUCCUGGUGCUCCUACUCCAGACCUCUGUCUGCAUGGCUUGUUUAAGCUGGACCUUUCAGUUGGCCCUUUUGGUAGAAUUAGGGGCCCAGAGUAGAUCCUUCUGUUGAGCUUCCUAAGGACAGAAAUCUCUGAAGCUCCCCAGUGAGGACUGUGAUUCAGUUGGUGGGAAGUUUAGCUAAGCCUGAGCCUGGGCAAAGUGAAGAUGGUUCAGAUCAGGGGUCCCCUUACUCAACCUGGGCCAGUGCUGGCCAGUAAGGACCUGAAGCUGUCUUGACCCCAUAUUUUAGAACGAAAAAUUUAACAAUAGCGUAUUGUUCCAACACUGGUGUGAGCCAGGUGGGCAGUUGGGGGCUUGGUUGGUGCUGCUGCUCUUCCUAUCUCCAGGAACUACACAGCACAGCUAGGAUCCCCACUAGAGCCACCCUAGAGACCUGAUUUCUAUCGAGGUGACAGACCCGGUGGUCCCAAAUACCACACAUCCCACCCUCCUAGGUGUGGGACUUUGAGUGUUGCCUAUGUUGGGGGUGAUGAAUUGCCAAAGCAGUGUGAAGGAUCGGAGGCCCAGCUUAAGGCCUGCGUCCUUCCCGUCCUUCCCGUUGAGACAUGCAGAGGUGCAGGUGAGGGGUGGCUAGGCUGGCUGGCUCUUGUCCUCUUUCUGUCCUCCCCAGGGAAGUGAGAGCCCAGGGGCUUUUUCUCUGGGAUGGAUGAGGGCUGCAAAGGCAGCAAGAACCUGUAGGCGGGAAUUGAUUGUCUUGCCCGCUUUAGGCGAAUGGUGGAGCCCGCUUGGUGGAGGGGUGGAAUGCAGGGCUGUCGGCCAGUGCCCUGAGGCUCUGCACUGUGAAUGGUGUUAGAGGGACCAGAGGCCUGGUGUGUGUGUGUGUGUGUGUGUGUGUGUGUGUGUGUGUGUGUGUGUGUAGGUCUUGCCAAAGCCAGUUUGUAGACAGGUGUUGGAUAGGUCUGUGGGUUGGGGGAAGGCAGCAAUGCCCCAGGGUCUCAAACCAUCCACUGACUUGGUGCCUGCUUCUCUAGCAGUCUGGAGGCCUGGGAAGAACAGGUGCAGGUUAGACCUCCUAGCCCCUCCUAGUCCUGCAGUUUCCACACUCCCAGCCCCCUACCUGGGCAGUGCUAGGGGCAGAGAACCAAGAGGCUAGGUUAAGGGUAGAGUGAGCGCCCUCCCCAGAGGGCGGCACUGCCUCAGCUGCGACUGCUUACAGGGUUUCUGUGGGGUGUGAUUAGUCUUCUGUUUUAUUCAAUUAGGAGGCAAUUAGGGGUCCUUGAGGGGAGGGGGCCUGGUACUGGUAAUUAAGGUUAUGUAUAAUUAAGAGUUUCAACAAAAUUAUCCAGGAUUUAAAAAAAAAUCUUUUCAGUAAUUUCGCUUAAAAAUUUCAAAUAGCAUUAAAUACAACUUAACAGGGUUUGAAUCAAAACCCAGUUUUAAGCCUUAGGAUCGGAAGCUCUCUCCUGAGAAGGUGUGGGGGACACUGGUAGCACCUUCCUAGAUCAGGAAAGAACUUCGUGAGAUGGAGGGAAUCUCUCCCUUUCUCUCUCCCUUCCUCUCUCUCUCUCUCUCUCUCUCACCCCACUCUGUCUGUCUCUGUGUCAAUGUCUGUGUUUGUCUGUGUCUCUCUCUGUCUUUCUCUGUCUCUCUCUGUGUCUGUCUCUGUUUUUCUCUGUUCCUCUGUGUGUGUGUUUCUCUCUCUUUCUCUGUGUCUGUCUCUGUUUUUCUCUGUUCCUCUGUGUGUGUGUUUCUCUCUCUUUCUCUCUCUCUCUCUCUCUCUCUCUCUCUCUCUCUCUCUCUCUCUCUCUCUCUGCUUUGCUGAAGGCAGCCUGGGCAGACACCUGCCUAGGCGACCCCCAGCUUCUCCCAGCUCCUUUCCCAAAGUCAGAGACAACAAUGGGGCAGCAGUAGUUAGGACAUGUCCAUACUGCAUCAGCUUGUGACUCUGACCCGGUGACCCGGUGACCCGGACGGACGCUACUGCAAUGAAGGUGCCUUUCUACUUGGGGGCCACCUUCUAGCUUCCUGGGUGUUCCUGCCCGAAUUUUCAGACCCCUCCACCUGGUCCAGAAAUCCCCAGUGCAAGGUAUUGUCCCUUUACUUGUCCCCAACUUGGGAUUUCCAGAGUACACACAGGUGUGCCUGCCCAUCCUGGGAAGGGAAGGCGAUCCCAGAAACCAAGGAGGAGGGUAUCCUGCAUUGCGAGUCGCUCUGCCCCUGUUCUGUAUGGCAGCAGCCUUGGAAGAGACCCUCAAAGUGCCUUUGGGUGUUCUUUAGCCCUCCUGGGUAGGUGUGAACUGGCCGCUGGUCAGCAUCCAGCAGCAUCCGGCAGCAUCCCCUCCACUGGCCCAGGGAAGGGAAGGAAGGAGUGUGGAACCUUAGACCCCCCUCCUCCAGCUGUUAGGUUAGAGAGCCUAGACAGGUGCAGUAACUCAUUCCGUUGCAAUCCAGUUCAAGACCUUCAGGGUUUCUUGGUCUGGUACUGCAGACUAUAGUUAAUUCUGUAGUGUUUUAGUUAGUUAAUUAAUUAAUCAAUUAAUUAAUUUAAUGUGUCAGGGUUAAAGUAUUUCAAGACCAGUGCUUACCAUGGUCUAUUCGUAAAGGACAGGUAGAUUCCACGCAUUAUAACCUGUGAAUUAAGCCGUCUGGCUUAUCCCCCACUUGUCUGCAGAUUGGAAUUCUAUUUGCUCAGGGCUGGACUCUUUCCCCCUCCAGGAAGUGAUAACACAGCUUCUCCUCCUCUCGCUGUGGGUACCCUCUCCAAAGGCAGAUUCUAGGUAGCCAGUAUUGACCAGGAAUGGGCCUUGUCUACCCCCUCUCCUCUUCUGCCAAGCACAAGUACAAAAACCUCACACAGAGAAGUGGGGGCUGCCUACUUACCCUAUCCCCAAACUAUCAGGGAAAAAAAUCCACCUGUCUUUCUCAGGAAACUAGGGAGAUGCAGUGCCCAUACUGCUCCUGCUCCCCAGUAGAUCCAAGCUGCAGGUCUAUGCAGCAUCUCUGAUAUUGGCCGUUGUUCCUCAUGGCCAGAGCCACUGUGACCAUCCUGCACCCAGAGUGCCCUCCACCCAAGUGGCCCUGAAGCAAGGAAUGGGUGGUCUCUCCCUGUUCUGACCACUCCCUGUUCUCAGAUCCUGUACUCUCUAGAGGUGCCUCUCACGAGAAAGAGGAACAAUGAAUGCCAUGAGCAAGCUGAAGAUAGGAGUGCUGGCCACUUGAGAUACAUAUUUGUUUAAUAGUUAACAUUUUGUGUAAAAAAAAAGGGGGGGGAAGGGAAGGCAGAUUCUGGUGAAGUGAAAGCUUUGCUUAUUUUAUAUCCACUAUAACUAUUUCUGUCCGUGAAAAUUGGCUUAAUUAUAUCAAUGGAAUGUUUCUUUUUAAAUUCUGUAUGCAAUUAGUCCAUCUUGCCGGCUGCAAUUUAUUUUAAUAAAAAAAUAAACCAGU